rnacentral:misc_RNA from 1 species
GAUGAAGAACGCAGCGAAAUGCGAUACCUGGUGUGAAUUGCAGAAUCCCGCGAACCAUCGAGUCUUUGAACGCAAGUUGCGCCCGAGGCCACCCGGCCGAGGGCACGCCUGCCUGGGUGUCACGCCAAAACACGCUCCCACCCCCCCUCACCGGGGGAGCGGGACGCGGCGUCUGGCCCCCCGUGCCGCGAGGCGCGGUGGGCCGAAGAUCGGGCUGCCGGCGUACCGUGCCGGGCACAGCGCGUGGUGGAUCUCUACUCGGCGCAGUGCACCCGGCGCGUAGCCGGCGCAGCGGCCCCUAAGGACCCAACGAACGGAGCGCGAGCCGCUCCGACCGCGACCCCAGGUCAGGCGGGACUACCCGCUGAGUUUAAGCAUAUCAAUAAGCGGAGGA